rnacentral:ncRNA from 1 species
UUAUAUGAGAGUUUGAUCCUGGCUCAGGAUGAACGCUGGCGGCGUGCUUAACACAUGCAAGUCGAACGAAGCACUUUACCACGAUUCCUUCGGGAUGACGGUUUAGUGACUGAGUGGCGGACGGGUGAGUAACGCGUGGGGAACCUGCCCCAUACCGGGGGAUAACAGCCGGAAACGGCUGCUAAUACCGCAUAAGCGCACAGUACCGCAUGGUACGGUGUGAAAAACUCCGGUGGUAUGGGAUGGACCCGCGUCUGAUUAGCCAGUUGGCGGGGUAACGGCCCACCAAAGCGACGAUCAGUAGCCGGCCUGAGAGGGCGACCGGCCACAUUGGGACUGAGACACGGCCCAGACUCCUACGGGAGGCAGCAGUGGGGAAUAUUGCACAAUGGGGGAAACCCUGAUGCAGCGACGCCGCGUG